CUGCAGACAGUCUUUACAGAAGCUGUGGCUACAUGACAGGACAACAGGAUCUUUGAAGAUGUCCUGGCAGACAGGACAGGACAGAUCCUCUUCUAAUAGAGAAGCCAUAUUCUCUCUAAGUGAAGAUGGAAAUAAAGCAGUGGAAGGACAACAAUCUGCAUUUCUUGGUUUGUCUCAGGUGAUGUGAGUCAGGUAAGGGGUGGAGCUUUGUUCUUUGUCCCAGGGUUCCAGUUUCUCUUUUCACUGGGUGUUAUAAACUGACAUAAGGUCCACUGGCCCAAUCAGCUGAUAGACUUUGAUUUAAAUAAUAAAAGGAAGAGAUGUGUACAUAAUGUGCCUAUUUAAAACCUGCCCAAUCUAACAAUGAAACCACGGCGCUCACUAUACAGCUCUACACUUUUAGUUUUACUUCUACUUCUGUUUUCAUUGUUAUAUAAAUGACUAUGAGAUUUGUACAGAGGAUAGUGCUUGAGGAAAGGUCAUGAGGUCUUUAAAAUCAAAAGGUUUCAUUAUUUUGAGGAUGUGAAUAUCUAAAGAAAAUCUAUUCAGUCUGACAGCAGUUGUUGAGAUAUCAUGCUUGUGACUGAAAGGUCCAGUGUGUGGGAUUUAGUGGCAUCUAGCAGUUGUUUGACUCUCUCUUUCCAAACGCGAGGGAGAAACUAUGGAGGCUGCAAAGUAUGCGAAGAAGCGAACUGCGCUUCAACAUGGCGGUUCAACAUUGAGGCGUACACGGAAAGUGACCCACGGCCUCUGUAGAUAAAAACAAUUCUUAUUUUCAGGUGAUUAUACACUAAUGAAAAAUAAUAUUAUAUUACAUUCAAUUUCUGCCAAUAGAUCCUCCUAAAUCGUCGCCAAGUGCUUGCUUAUGGUGGGAACUGUUGGGUCUCUGUAAAUCAUUUUGUAAGGAGUGCGAUCUAGACCUAUUCUAUUAUAACUUUUCUCAUGAAUUGGCACUAUACAAAUAAAAUUGAACUGAACUGAAUUAAAUGUUACACACUGGACCUUGAAGUCUUGGAUGGACUGAAUGGUUUGUACUGACUUUUCUAUUCACUUCUAAUCCACACAGCACAGUGAAGGGAAAUGCUUUUUACCUUAACUGCAACUGCUUAAGAACAAAGAGUCCAGCAAAAGUAUGUGAGUUCAAUGCCAGCUUGGGUUUGGUAACUGGUUACUCAAGACAAACUGUCAGCUCUGCAUUUUUUAGAUUCAGAUCACAUCUAGUGCAUCUAAUGUGACACAAUGUAAACUGAAACCAUGACCACACAACUGAAACUGAAAUAGGAGUAACAUGUAUACUUUUUAAAUAUUUAGUUUUAUAGUUACAAAACCCACUAAGAUGAACAAUGUCACACUGCAGCAUUUGUUGUAAAUGUGUGUGUUUACUUUUAUAAUUCAUACUUUUAAAGUUCAAAAAGUAAAAAAAAUAAUAACAUACAGAAAAUAUUUGGUACAGUAAGAAUAAGAUAACAUAUACUUGGUUAUAAUUAUACAAAGUUAUUAAAUACAUUGUAGGGUCUCAGUCACUCCCAGUGAUUUAAUAACAGAAGAUGUAGCUACAUCAUAUACCUCCUCUUUACAUUUAAUAAUCCUGGGUUGCUAUUCCUCAUGUACUCCUCAAGUUUUGAAUCCCCAGACACCACUGCUUGGUUAUGACUAUACAAAGUUAUUAAAUACGUUGUCUGUUAGGACUUAAUCAUUCUUAUUGAAGUAAUAAUAGAACAUGUAGAUCAUAUACCCUUUUACAAUUUAAUAAUGGUCUUCAAAAUGACGGCAUAUGGAACCUCAGAAUGACAGUAUUUAUACUUCCCAAAAUAUUGGUAGUCUGUCUGCUCAGCCCCAGUCAGUGCGAUUAUUAUUUUACAGAAAACUAGAAAAAAUUGUAAAUUGUUAAAAUGUGACUACAACAUAAUUGAUUGACAUUUUCAUCAAAAGAUGAAAAUUACAACCAAAUCAGGUGCCAAAAUUCAGUUAAUUUGACAUUAUUGUAAUUUAAUCCAGUGAAAUAAAUUAAACCGAUAUAGUUGGAUUAGAAACUGAGUCUCUCGGCAUGCAGCUCUGUCUGCUGAUCUGGGUGUAACAACCGGGCGAGGUGAUGUUACCAUCUGCACAACCUAUUGAUCUGUCUGCGUUAUCAUUUGUUACGACGGCGGCUGGCAUUGAUAAAGUUUCAGGAUUGGCUGCAGUAGCUGCCGGCUAUUGAUUCACCCUUCUUUCUAAUUGAAUACACAGAGUCCUUGGUAUUGAUAACAAAGAGCUAUAAUUUGAUAUAACAGUGGCGGGUAUCGAUCAGUGAAUCUGAUGAUGUUAUCAAGCAGCAAGGAGUAUUGAUAAAUGUGAUGGGGGGAAGUAUUGAUAAGUAGCGUGCAGGUUCAACUAGGUGAGGUCAACUGAGUGGGGACGACUGGGUGUUUUAAAUAGUCGCCCUUGCUGCUGGGAGAUCGGUUUCAUGUCUCUGUGCUGUGUAAUACAUAAACUCUUAAACAAAAGCCAGGCUGUGACAAACAAAUUAAUAAUAAUCACCAAUAAAGGUCAGGAAAAACUCAAUGAGGGCAUUGAAUCACCUCUAGUGGCUCACGGGGUAAAUUCAGCAUAAUGUACAUUUCCACAGUACAAACUCAUUCACAACAAGCCUCUUGACAGCGCUGACCUUUGAAGGAACAGCUAAAUAUUAUUGGCUGUGUUGCUCCUCCACUCCACUUUCAUUCCUCUGUCAACUCCACAAAAGAGGAAUAUGAGAUAGAAGUCACUGGUAUACAUCUUUUGAAUAAACCGUGAGAACUUGUUGUCCCGACCAAGAUACAAAUUUUAGUAUCUGACUGUUGCAAUGCUGUUAAAUUUAACUGAGAGUUCGCAAGUUAGCUAGUUUGGAACUAUUUUUAAAUGUACAAUAACAAAA